UGGGUGAUGUUAGGUGAUGUUAGGUGAUGUUAGGUGAUGUUAGGUGAUGUUGGGUGAUGUUAGAUGAUGUUAGGUGAUGUUGGGUGAUGUUAGGUGAUGUUAGGUGAUGUUAGGUGAUGUUGGGUGAUGUUAGGUGAUGUUAGGUGAUGUUAGGUGAUGUUGGGUGAUGUUAGGUGAUGUUAGGUGAUGUUAGGUGAUGUUAGGUGAUGUUAGGUGAUGUUGGGUGAUGUUAGGUGAUGUUAGGUGAUGUUGGGUGAUGUUGGGUGAUGUUAGGUGAUGUUAGGUGAUGUUGGGUGAUGUUAGGUGAUGUUAGGUGAUGUUAGGUGAUGUUGGGUGAUGUUAGGUGAUGUUAGGUGAUGUUGGGUGAUGUUAGGUGAUGUUAGGUGAUGUUAGGUGAUGUUGGGUGAUGUUAGGUGAUGUUAGGUGAUGUUGGGUGACGUUAGGUGAUGUUAGGUGAUGUUAGGUGAUGUUGGGUGAUGUUAGGUGAUGUUAGGUGAUGUUAGGUGAUGUUGGGUGAUGUUAGGUGAUGUUAGGUGAUGUUGGGUGAUGUUAGGUGAUGUUAGGUGAUGUUGGGUGAUGUUAGGUGAUGUUAGGUGAUGUUGGGUGACGUUAGGUGAUGUUAGGUGAUGUUAGGUGAUGUUGGGUGAUGUUAGGUGAUGUUAGGUGGUGUUGGGUGAUGUUAGGUGAUGUUAGGUGAUGUUAGGUGAUGUUAGGUGAUGUUGGGUGAUGUUAGGUGAUGUUAGGUGAUGUUGGGUGAUGUUGGGUGAUGUUAGGUGAUGUUGGGUGAUGUUGGGUGAUGUUGGGUGAUGUUAUGCGGAAGCCGCUUCGCGCGGGAGGCUAAAAAAGCGUUUUACGGCCGCCAAAGCGGGCCUGGAGCAUUUUUGGCGCAUU